rnacentral:rRNA from 1 species
AUUGAACGCUGGCGGCACGCCUUACACAUGCAAGUCGAACGGCAGCGCGGACUUCGGUCUGGCGGCGAGUGGCGAACGGGUGAGUAAUACAUCGGAACGUACCCUGUUGUGGGGGAUAACUAGUCGAAAGAUUAGCUAAUACCGCAUACGACCUGAGGGUGAAAGUGGGGGACCGCAAGGCCUCACGCAGCAGGAGCGGCCGAUGUCUGAUUAGCUAGUUGGUGGGGUAAAGGGCCACCAAGGCGACGAUCAGUAGCUGGUCUGAGAGGACGGUCAGCCACACUGGGACUGAGACACGGCCCAGACUCCGACGGGAGGCAGCAGUGGGGAAUUUUGGACAAUGGGGGCAACCCUGAUCCAGCAAUGCCGCGUGUGUGAAGAAGGCCUUCGGGUUGUAAAGCACUUUUGUCCGGAAAGAAAUCGCGCUGGUUAAUACCUGGCGUGGAUGACGGUACCGGAAGAAUAAGCACCGGCUAACUACGUGCCAGCCGCCGCAGUAA